CCGCUCUCCCCACGACCACGGAAACCCUAAUCCAUCUCCACCCACAGCCGCCGCAGCUCCUCUCCCUCUCUGUUCCUGAUUCAGAUCCAUGCCCAGCCUCCGCCGGUCCGCCUCCGCGCGGCUGCCACCCCCCUUGAUCUCCCGUGCCGCCAUCCCAACCAUCUCCCGCUCCACCUCCGUCUCUCAUCCUCUAUCAUUCCUCCAUCGCCCCACCCUCUCCCCUUAUGCAGCCUACUCAGAUCCAUGAUGGGGGCACACACUGUCGUAGUGGCGCUCCCGCAUCCGCAUCAAGGUCAGCCCCCUGCUCGUCGUCAUGGGCGCGGUGGUCACGAGGAAGGUGGUUGAGGUCGGCGAGAUGAACGUUGUCGCCUACCCGCUGGCCAGGACCAGGGACGGCUGCCCCGACACUCCGUCUUCUUCACAAUCUGGCGCCGGGAAAGGAGGGGGUCGCCACAGUUUUCUUCGGCACUCCUUGGCCUUUUUCGCAUCGCCACAGGUGACCUCGCUGGACCACUGCUGUGAAGUUCCACUAAAGUUCCAAUUAUUAUUCUAUACGUGGAGGAGAUAGCUGAAGUCGAGCGUGCUGUUGAUGACAUAAAAGGUGUAGAUGAAACAGAGCCUUCUGAAGAAUAGAGGUGAAAAUACAGAAAGGUCAGUCAAAACUACUUCUGUAGUACAACAUAAUUAGCUAGCACUACAAACUAUGGACCCAUCUUUGUCCUGAUGUUCUAUCCUUGAAGGAAAUUGCUUCACACAUGACAAUAGCUGCACGACUUAUGAACGAUGUUCCCUCCCCAACAAUGCUCUUGUGAGCAUGCUCGCUGUUGGCGCUGCCACGACAGAAUCGUGCAAGCAUCGGCCAUGCAGGCAUCGUGUGUAUAGUAGUGUUGAUCCUUAAAUAUCUUUGUUUGUGCUUUUUGUAUCGUCUUAGUGUGUGGGCGCUUGUUUUCAUAUUUUUACUUAAUUUAUUGCUUGCUGCAACACCUAGUUCCUCCUAGUUUGAUAGAGUUUUUUGCUUUGUUCAUGGUGGAUGCAUAAUAUGUAAAAUCUCAAAUGGUAUUUUUAUAGUUACAUGUCUAUUUUGACAAAAUGUUGAUUGCUAACAUUCACUCUACGUACCAAUUACUUUCUACUGUUCCUGAUUGUUCUCGAUUGCUCUGUACCUUUUUUUAUGAGAAAACACCACCCAGUACUAUGUGAUCAUGAAGAUUCUUUGAUUCGGUUGCAAAUCCUUGAAUCUAUCUACUGUUCCUGAUUGUUCUCUAUUGCUCAGUACCUACUUUUUAUGAGAAAACACCACUCAUAAUUACUAUGUGGUCAUGAUGAUUCUCUGAUUCAGUUGCAAAUCCUUGUAUCUAUCUAUCGUUCUUGAUUAUUCUUUAUUGCUCAGUACCUAUUUUUUUAUGAUAAUACACCACUCGGUACUAUGUGGUCAUGAUGACUCUCUGAUUCAGUUGCAAUACGAGUGACAUAACAGCUUGUUUAAAAGACGAAGCUUGCUCAUAUGUUCCAUAAUCUUAAAAUUCUAUAUGGUUAAGAAAAAUAUAUGAAAAUAUAGCUACAAACAAUGAUAGAGAUCACAAAAGUUCGAGCCGAGCAACUCAAGCUCAUAGUGCAGAAUUCAGUUUGAUAUUCUAAAUGUGCGCGGUGCCUCUUAGUAUUAGAUGUGGAGUUUAAUUUAUAGUCGAUGUAUUGACACAACCAAGCGCAUUGUAGGGUAGAAGAUUUCCCAUGGGAAUUCCCAUACCAUGCACAUGAUCGAGUUACAUUCAUUUUAAGCAACCUGUCAACAAUUUUUAGCCAAAAGUAUCUUUAGCCAAAAGUAAAUAGGCUCUGCCUCUGAGGUGAUUGACUAAACUGGGAACCAAAAUCAUGUAGACCAUUGUUUGUGUUUAUUUGAACCAAGUCUAUUGCUUUCACUACAUUGUCACUCUAUCAGUAAAGUUGCUCCUGAUACUACUUUUUACCUGUGUUCAUUUUGAGUUGUUGGCCUUUUAAAGGAAACAUUUUGUAGCAAAUAAUAUUGCUCUGGAUUAUGGUUCAAUGUAUAUAUUUAAUCAUUUUAUGUAGUGGCUAAUUGAAAUAUAUAUCUAUCUGAACAUACAUGUUGACUGAAAUGUGCAUGUUUAAUCAUUUCAUGUUCUUUGUUUCAAUUGGGCAUUUAUUUCAAAUGUCUUGGUAAAGAUUUGGUCUAGCCACGUAUAUCAACUGAUUUAUGCGCUAAUCUGCGAGGAUAGAUAUUCCACCAACCAUCUCACUAUCUCACUACUAAUAUUCAUAUUUGUUUUCUUUCUGUGUGAUACUAAGACGUGCAUAUGUGUUCUUUUUGCAUGCCAAAAUAUUUGUUUGAUUGCUGCUAAAAUGGGCAGUAUGACUGAGAAAUGUGAUGUUGAUGCAUAUUGUUCCUUGUUCCUGUCAUUUUAUUGUGGGCGAGCUAAUAGCUAUCAUUUUAAAUAAAGGUUUGGAUGAAUGUUUCCCAUAAUUUAUUCCUCAUUCUAAUAGUUCUCACAAUUUAUUUUUUGAUGUUCUUUUGCAGGUAAUUGAAGUAGAACAGAAGAUAUUACACUCUAGUUUCGUUUAGAAGGGUAACUCGACUUGGGAUGGAACAGAUGAUACUACACUUAAGACAGGGAACACAACACAGAUUAUAUGUAUCUAAAUGUCUAGUGUAAUUGUGAGAUGUAAUUGUAAUUCCUAUGGUGGUUUGAAUUUUGUAGUUGUGCACUAUAUUAUUGUUUUUCUUUGCUAAAUGGAGAUUCUUUACUUUUA